CCUACGGGAGGCAGCAGUGAGGAAUAUUGGUCAAUGGGCGAGAGCCUGAACCAGCCAAGUCGCGUGAGGGAGUACUGCCCUAUGGGUUGUAAACCUCUUUUGUCGGGGAGCAAAAGCCGGACGUGUCCGGCUGUGAGAGUACCCGAAUAAAAAGCAUCGGCUAACUCCGUGCCAGCAGCCGCGGUAAUACGGAGGAUGCGAGCGUUAUCCGGAUUUAUUGGGUUUAAAGGGUGCGCAGGCGGAUUUUUAAGUCAGCGGUAAAAUCGUGGGGCUCAACCCCAUCCAGCCGUUGAAACUGGGGAUCUAGAGUGUGCGAGAGGUAUGCGGAAUGCGUGGUGUAGCGGUGAAAUGCAUAGAUAUCACGCAGAACCCCGAUUGCGAAGGCAGCAUACCGGUGCACAACUGACGCUCAGGCACGAAAGCGUGGGUAUCGAACAGGAUUAGAUACCCCAGUAGUC
rnacentral:rRNA from 1 species